CCAGCUCGAAGGCCACGAAGCUCACUACGCACAGGAUGUCGCACAUCCGAUUUCGUGAGCAGGCUAAGGUAUGAGUAUUAUAAUCUCCUUCGAUUGGCUCUAGCAGAGCCUGGUCGUAAUGCGACCAAGCGAUGUACCAGAAAAUCAGCUCUUUCUUCAUCGCCCAAGAUCCUGUUAUUCAGGGGAGGUGAGGAGACUAUAGCUUUGAAAUGUGUCGCGGGGAUCGGGCAGGGUUCUGGGUCGCUGUCUGUUACCUUCAUCUCGCAGAUGUGCCUUCGAAAAGGGCGCUCUGAGCGUAGACCAGCAGCGAAUGUAGCUGGCCAAACUAUCAAUUAUAGCCCAUGAUUGACAGUCAGUCGCUGUGUGGGGUAGGCGAUGUGAACAGUCAAACCCGGUGCAUUUUACCCUCACAGUUUUCCUACGGCCAGAGUGUUGCGCAGCACCUCAUCGUAGGGCGUUAGGGUGGGAUGACUGUACCGAGGUAUCGUUCGAACACCUUCUCUGUAGUGUGAUGGCUGGACGGGCUCAAGGAUGGUCUAGCCAUAACGGCGAAGUUUGUUGCUGCGCGCGAAAGAUGCUACCUGCUGACGAGAAGGUGGUGGACGCGAUCACGCAGAGAACUCUCGCCCUCUAGUGCACUUCGUGGCUCAUAUCUCUAUCUGGGAUGUGGAAUUCGAUUCAGACUACUCUCGGACUGG
rnacentral:RNase_P_RNA from 2 species